ACAAAAAUAUCAUAGACUAUGUGGCUUAUAAACAACAGAAAAUUACUUUUCCCAGUCCAAGAGGCUGAAAGUCCAAAAUCAUGGUGCCAGCACGAUCCAAUUCUGUUGAAGGCCCUCUAUGGAGAUGAGGACUGCUAUCUCCUUGUUGUGUGCUCACAUGGUAUAAAGAAGGUUACCUAUGUUUCUUGAGUACCUAUGAUAAGGACUCUAAAUCCAUUACUGAGUGCUUACCUUUAUGACCCAAUUACCUUCUAGAGCCCUCACAUUCUAAUACCAUCGCACUGGGGCUAGGAUUUUAACAUUAGUCUUUGCAGGGCACCCAAACAUUUAGUCCAUACCAGGUGCUUGGUAGAUUUAUGUAGGGAGUAGUUUGGAAAGCCAAAAAAGGAAAUGGUCAAUCCCCUUUUGGGGAAAGGGUCCUAAAAUGCUUCAUGAAGAAAAAAUUAUUUUGAAGCAUGGCUACAAGUUCUUGAGGUUGAAAUGCUGGAGGAAGCAAGAGAAGUUGAAAUUUCAGGCAAACGGAAAGCAGAGACAAGCAGACUGGGCACAUGGGAUGUGCAAGGCACUGCAAACAGCUCCUUCUCACAGAAGCUCCUGGCAUGAGAGAGACUCCAUUGGCAAAGGAGCAGCAGAAAAGGAGAGAAGAGAAGAAGCAUCUGAACAUUGAGAGGAGAAGCAGCAGCUGGACAUUGGAGACUACAGUUGGAGAGGAGUUCAGCCAGAGAUAGUUGGAGAGGAAUUUGGUCAGACAGCCGAACUCCAGGGAAAUACCACCUUCUCGCUCCAUCCCCUUCCCAAUCCCCGUUCCCACUGGGAGUCACUUUUAUCAGCAAUAAAAUCCUCCGCAUUCACCACC